rnacentral:tRNA from 1 species
GUCCCGCAUAUACUCAGUGGUAGAGCAUUUGACUGCAAAUCAAGUGGUUCCUAGUUCAAAUCUGGGUGCCC